rnacentral:lncRNA from 1 species
ACGGAAUCAAACCAGUGUAUUAUUUUUGUUUGGAACAGAGUUGAGCUCAGCUGAGAUUGGAUUUGCUCCAGUUCAGGCCAGUAACAGUAUAAUCGCUUCCCCUGACCGAUUCACGUUUGAGAACAUGAUAUUUAAAAAAUGGGAAGGUAAAACUUCGCGGCGUGAGGAGCAAAGUGCUGGCACUCGGCCCGGGAGCAGCGUUAGCGCUGGCGCCUGCUGCUCUGCGGGAGCUCAGGCACCCACCGCCUCGCUGCCGCCGGUUCUCGGCUCCCUAAACGCGACCUCCGUGGUGCCCGGCAGCGCACUGGGUCUGCGGGCACCGAGGUGAGGGCACAGGGCUGCCCGCGACAGGCCGGCGGGAGCACGCGUGGGACGAACGCCGGAGGAGGGAGCGGGGUACCCGGCUGGCUGCAGCCCCAGCUGUUGGGGCCGCAGCCGCCACACGGUAGCGCCAACCGCUGCCCAGCAGCCCCCCGGCAGGGGGGAGGGGGGAGGGGCGCGGCCGUUAACGGCCCUCCCCCCGCCCGAGUCCGUCCGAGUCGCGGCGGCGGAAGCGCCGGCGGCGGAAGCGCCCCCCGGCAGCGCGAGCUCUUCCGGGUGGCCGGCGGCGGCGGCGGCGGUGGUGAGUGCGAGUGCGAGUGCGGGUCGGGGGACGCAGCGGGCGCGGGGGGCGGAGCUUCUCCGUCCGCCGGGAGGCGCAGGCGCAGCCCCGGCCGCGGAGCGGGAGCGGGAGCGGGGCCGGGCCCGGCGGGGCCCCCGCGGUGCCCUCACGGUCUGUACAGCCCCAAGGGUUUGGCCUGUGAUCAAGGAGUGGUCCUGAACGUAUGGAUAACAAGAAGGAGGAAAGAAGUAGGUCGCUAUGUGCAACAUCACAAGAAGAGCUGAAAGUCCGAGGAAAAGAAAAAAGGAAACGAAAACGUAGCAGAAGCAGAUCAUCAUCAAUUUCAUCCACAUCAUCUUCUAGUACUUCCACUACAUCCGCUUCUUCCUCUUCAUCACGCUCGUCAUCGAGGUCUUCUUCCAGUACCAGAGAUUCUCCUAAAUCCAAAUCAAAGAAGAAGAAAAAAGAAAAACACAAUAAAAAGAAGAGGAAAAAAGAGAACAAAAUGAAGAAAAAGAAAGAAAAGAAGAAAAAGAGAGAGAAAGCAGGACCUGUCCAGCUUUCCAAGUUCUUUAAAAACAAAAAGAAGAAUGAAAACUACAGCAUGAUAACAGGAAAGAAAAUUAAGAUGAAAAUAAAGAAGUCUAAGAAGGAUAAAGAGAGAGACCGGAAUCGUGCAGAGCUCCUUGAGUUUCUGAACUCUGCCUUAUGA